UACGGAGGGGGCUAGCGUUGUUCGGAAUUACUGGGCGUAAAGCGCACGUAGGCGGCUUUGUAAGUUAGAGGUGAAAGCCCGGGGCUCAACUCCGGAAUUGCCUUUAAGACUGCAUCGCUAGAGUUGUGGAGAGGUAAGUGGAACUCCGAGUGUAGAGGUGAAAUUCGUAGAUAUUCGGAAGAACACCAGUGGCGAAGGCGACUUACUGGACACAUACUGACGCUGAGGUGCGAAAGCGUGGGGAGCAAACAGG
rnacentral:rRNA from 1 species